rnacentral:rRNA from 1 species
UACUAGAGUAGCACUCGCAUAUCAAUAAGCGGAGGAAAAGAAACUAACUAGGAUUCCCUCAGUAACGGCGAGUGAAGCGGGAAGAGCUCAAAUUUGAAAUCUUCAAGGUUCUACCUUGACGAAUUGUAGUUUAUAGAAGUGUUUUCUGUUAGUGGAGUGGCAAAAGUUCUUUGGAAUAGGACAUCAUAGAGGGUGAGAAUCCCGUAUUUGGUCAUUCCUCCUAGCGUUGUGAUACACUUUCAACGAGUCGGAUUGUUUGGGAAUGCAGUCCAAAAUGGGUGGUAAAUUUCAUCUAAAGCUAAAUAUUGGCGAGAGACCGAUAGCGAACAAGUACCGUGAGGGAAAGAUGAAAAGAACUUUGAAAAGAGAGUUAAACAGUACGUGAAAUUGUCAAAAGGGAAGCGUUUGACACCAGUGUUGUUUUUCCGAAAAUCAAUUACGAAUGUUUUGUUUUUGAGGAGUUAUGACUUCAUCGGCUUGCUCCUUUCUUUACGAAACUUUCUUAAUGCACUUUUCGGUUAACAAGUCAACAUCAAUUUCUUUUGUUGUAAAAGGGUAUGAGGAAGGUGGCUUUCUUUUCGGAGAAAGUGUUUAUAGCCUUGUGCCUCUGCAAUCGGAGAGAUUGAGGUCUGCAGCGUAGAUCCUUCGGGGUUAGAUACAUUUGUGCUAAGUUAUAGCUUUUCAUAGACAACUUGUUGACUAUGUUUAGUCUUGUAGCUUACUCGCUUAUGCUAUUUUACCUACGCUUAGGAUGUUGAAGAUGUAGCACAUCAU